CACACAGCCUGUGGGGAAGCACAGCUGUCAGGGCUGGAUUUUCAGGAUUAGUUUGGUUGAAGAUGCCGAAACCCAGCUCCCGUGGCUGAUACCAAAGGGGGCAUUCCCAGUGGGAAGCAGCAGGGCCUCCAGGAAGCAGGAGGCAGAAUCAGAGACCCCCAGGGCUGGGCUCCUCGCCUCUGCAUCGGUUCCUACCACAGGCUGAAAACAAAUUGUUGCAAGUCACAUCCUCAGCCGCCACAGAGGGAUCGACUUUCUCACUGCGGCAUCAGUGACAAGUCAGAUGUCCGUCACUGUGCCCAAAGGCACAGGGGCCCUGCCUGGUCCUGCUCUGGUGAGGUGCCCAUCCUUAUGCACCAAGAAAUUGUGGUCAGGGGAGGCAGCAGGACGAGGUAAGACCAUGGGAGUCUCCACCACUGCCAUGUGGAAAGGGAGUGGGGGAGGGUGCAGGAAGAGGGAGGGCAACUGGGCAGACAGACACCCCCAUUUCACAGAUGAGGAAACUGAGGCUCCCAGAGCAGAAGGAACUUGCUGGAGGUCACACAAUGAGUAAGCAGCAGAACUGGGACCCAAGCCCAGAUCCAUCAGGCUCCAGAGAGUCUGUGCUCUAACAACCAGGAGGCCCUGCCCAUUCUGCAGUCUGAAACCCCACAGAGGUAAGAGGGUGGUUCCAGGAGACAGGGACAAACCUGAGAGCCCCCUGGCUCAGGACGCCAGGGAAGAUGGCGCUCUGCCCUCGGGUCCCAUCGCCCCACUCAGAGGGCCCAGCUGAGUGAGCACGCUCACGCUUCGCGGCCCAAGCCAUUGCCAGUAAAUUACUCCCAGUAACGGGGUGUUUGCCCAGGGAAUUAAAGAGGCAGUAAACAGUUGCCAGAGUAAUUAGACACGAAUGGCGGACGUGCCAGGCUUCUCAACGCCGGGAAGCAACUUCCAUAGUAGCCUCCCUCUGCAGGGCGAGAUGAGACCACUGGGUUGCGAUUGUCAAGUUAAGCAGCUGAGAGCCAGAGAAUCAAAGAGACGGCAAGACAUUGCUGGGGGGAGACAGGGUAACCUUGGAAACUACUGCAUAUAAUCCCCUCCGUAUACAGACGGAGAAACUGAGGCCCAGGGAGGGAGAACAGACCUGCCCAGGGACACCCAGCAGAUUAGAGGGAGAGGUAGGUCUGGAGCCUCGGUCUCAUGGGAAGCAGGUCAAGCCAGUUCCUGGCACACUUGGUUACGCACCGUUCAAGGUCAUCUUGGGGAGAAGGGUCACAGCUCUGGCAGUUAAUGGGGGCACAGGUAACAGCGAUGAUGAGUGAAACUUUGGGCACACAUUCAUUCAUUCGUUUAAUGAGUAUUUAUUAAGUUCCUACUAUAUUCUGGGUUCUGUUCUAGGCUCUGGGGAACAAGGCAAGCAAAAGUCCCUGUCCUCAGAGAGCUGACACUCCAGAAACACAGAACCCAAAGGCAAGUCGGGAACUCAGGAGGCUCACAGGGGCCUAGGCAAAGGGAGGUGCAGAGACAGCAAGGAGGUGGAGUUCAGGGGAAAAUGCAUACAUGAGCACCCUCUCCCGCUUCCACAUGGCCUGGGAAAGGGAUCGAGAUUCCAGAGGAGCCAUCUGGCCCUGUCUGGCUCAGAACCUGCCUCUGGGCCUUCCCAGAUCAGGCUAGUGGACACACAGCAGCUGUGAGAAGUGCAGGCACAGAGCUGGGCCUGGCAGCCACCCACACCUGCAGUUCCAGCCACAAGAGCAGGGCCACAGAGAGCCACAACCCACAGAUGGAGCAUAGUGAACCACUGCAGAUGGGCCUGAGGCAGGGCAGCAGCCCCUAAUGGGGGAACAGGAAGAUUUGCAGACAGGUAGUGGACCCCUGGAAUCUCAUGGACCUGCAUUCAAUCCCAGCCCUGCCGCUCACUUGCUGUGCUACACUAGGCAAGUUACUGAUCUCACUGAGCCUCGGGUUUCUCAUCUGCAAAGAGGUUAGAAAUGAAAGUCUUUAAGCGCUGACCGUCCAUAAUCAGAGCUUUGAGCAGCAGACAGUUCGCAAGAUUAAAGCUGGGAGGCACAGCAGGUACUGUGUGUUGCACAUCAACCAGGCCAGACAGUGUGAGGAGCACUUCCUGUAAAUCCUGUCAUUCAACUGUCUGAAAACCCCUUGAGCCUGGACCAUCCUCUCUGCCUGCAGUACCCCAGACCCUCUUUCCCUUCUGUCCCCAGUAAAUCCCAUCUCUCUGCUUAGAAUAAGCAAUUGGCCAUGGAUCAGGAGGCCCAGAUCUAUGCCAGCCUCUGCCACUUUCUCAUUGUGUGACCCAAAGCCACAUGUCUCAGUUUCCCCAUCUGUGUAUUGAGUGCUCAUCUUGGAGAUCUGACAUUUCUUUUCUGCAAGUGGGCUUGAAUUGUCAAUUCAACACACCUCCUGUGUGACUUUGGAGGAGUCACUUAAAGUCUCUGGGCUGGGCUAACCUGCUCACCCAGAAGCCCUGCAAUUGGAAACGGGGCACCUUCCCCUGCCCACCUUGAUUCCCAUUCAGUGUCAGAGCUUGAACAGAAACUCCAGCUCCACUCCCAAGCCCCUCAAGAUGCCAGGGACACUCAGGCUGCCUCCCUAGCCAAUCCCUCAGGGCGAGAGACAGGGAAACACCUGCACUCCAGAACUGAUAGUCUAAAAACAGCAGCCAGGGCCCACCUGUGGAGGAUGAAGAGGAAUGCACCCAGGGCCUGAACUGCCCAGAACUUCAGACCCUGGAUACAAGCCCCAGGGAUGGGGAAGCUAAGCAGCCAGUCCCCCAGCUCGGAGAAGGUGGGGGGAACAGAGCCCAGGAGAAUGGGAGUAGGGAGGCUUAGGGACAACCUUUGAAAAAUUUAAAAACUGAUACAAACUUUAUUUUAUUAUUUUUAUCUCCAUCAUAAAAACAAUGCCCAGGCACCCGCAGACAGAGCUGGUGGGAGUAUAAAUUGGUACAAUAUUUUGGAAAACAAUCGAGUAAUAGUGAUUCAAGUUAAAAUAUAUAUAUCUUUUGACCCAGCAAGCCCAUAUCUAGGAAUUUACCUUACAGAAAUAUACACUAAAUGCCAGGAAAUGUACAUACAAGAAUGUUCCUAGGAGCACUGUUUGUAAAAACAGGGAGAAACUGCAAACCAAUAGGGGACUUGCUGGUGAAACAUGGGGCAUCCACACAAAGGAAAGAAAUGCAGUUGGUUUUUUUAAUGAGGCAGAUCUAUACAUGCUGUCAGAGAGACAUUUCCAAGACCAAUUAGAAGGGAAAAAAAGAAAAUUGAGUAACUGUGCAUAAAAUGUGAUCACAUUCUUAUAAAAAGAAAAGACUCCAGGGGCCUGAAAACCAAACUGCCAACUCUUGAAUGGUGGGUGUCGGGAGGUCAGAGGAGAUGGGCGAUGUUUAUUUUCUACACCGGGCAUUUCUGAAAUGUUUGAAAGCUUCUAUUAGUCAGAAAAACAGUAACAAUAACAGUAUUCAUUUUCAAAUUAAAUUAGCACACUCUGGUAACAAAAAAAAGUGUUUUGUAUUGUUUUGUUUUUUAAUGUGAAUUCUCAACACCCAAAGGUGUAUUUUUAACAUUUGGUUGCAUUUCUUUCAGUAUUUUAAAAUCAGUUUUUCAGGCAUAGUUAUUAUUGAUCUGUAUGUAUAAUUUAACACCCUAGGGUUUUUAAAAAAAAAAAAAAACUCGUAUUAUAGCAUUAAGCAUUUCCCAGCUAGCAUGAAUGUAAACAAUGUUUUCAUUGCCUGUGGAGUAUUCUGGGUGGUCCACAGUUUUAGGUUGUUCUUUUUUUCUUUUCUUAUUUUUUUUUUUUGCUAUUUUAAAUAGCCCUGUGGUAAACAUAUUUAUGCCUAAAUUUUGGCAGGAGAAGCAUACGGGAUCUUUUAAUGAGUUCAUGCCUUAUUAAAAACAUAAAAUAUAUAUGUAACCAAUCUACUGAAUGGGUUGAACUUGGCCAAGAGACAAACAGAAAGGAUAUAAACCCCCCACUACAACCUCCGCCUGCCAGUGUGCUCUGCCUAAUGCCCACCUCGUCCCUCGAGGACAUCGCAGAUGGGUCUUUGGGCUCUGUGGACCCUGCAGACACACCAGCAACCCUGUGUUAAUCCUGUCCACCUGUCAGCAUUGACCGGUCCAGUCUGGUUAAGCCACAAUGUCUCUGCUCCAGCUCGGGCCUGACUGGAGGUAGGGACCCCCGCAGGAGCUGGAGCCCAAGGUCUGCAUCUUCUCUCUCCCUUCUGCCCUCUCUGCUUUUAGCCCCUCCAGGAUCCUGUAGGACAGGAUGUGAAUCCAAGCUGCCAAGUUCCAGGGUCUGUGUUUAUAGCCACUGCGCUUCAUCGAAUGGAAGGAUAGAAGGGAGUAGGGGAGCGGAAGAUGAAGGAACCCUUGGUCUCCAGCCACUGCUGGAGAGAAUGACAGUCUUUCCUUGGACACACCUAACAAGCCCUCUGCCUUUAUGAGCAGGCUCCACCCACUCUGCGUGCUUGGCUGCAGACUCAGACGCUCUGGUGAGGAAGGAAGUUCCUCUGGUGAGGUCUAAAAACCUGUCUCACGGUGGAUCAGGCCUGUAAUCCAGCACUUUGGGAGGCCAAGGCGGGCAGAUCACUUGCAGCCAGGAGUUUGAGACCAGCCUGGCCAACAUGGUGAAACCCCAUCUCUACCAAAAAUACAAAAAUUAGCUGGGCAUGGUGGCACACACCUGUAAUCCCGGCUACUCAGGAGACUGAGGCAUGAGACUCCCUUGAACCUGGGAGGUGGAGACUGCAAUGAGCCAAGAUUGCACCACUGCACUCCAGCCACUGCACUGGGCGACAGGAUGAGAACCUGUCUCAAAAAAAAAAAAAAAAAAGAACCUGUCUCAGAUGCUUCUUUCUCUGGCCACUGAGGUCUUUACCAUGAAUCCCUUCAUUUCUGCAAGGAAAAUGCCUUUGAAAUAGCAACCAAUGUUUUCUCCUAUGAUUUCCAGUCAUCCCUCAACCAUGUUUCAGGCCACAGUUAGGUCACUCAGGCCCUGCUGACUCCAAGCCAGGACUUUUAGCAGGAAACUGAGUAUAAAGUGAACCUCCUCUGCCUUUUAAGUAGCAAAAAUCUAGGCCCCCAGGGUGUUGGCAAUAGAUGUGAAAGGACA
rnacentral:lncRNA from 10 species